rnacentral:misc_RNA from 1 species
AGUGGUAGGACAUGGAGAAAUUUUCUGAGGCCUAUAGGAUUUGUUUUCUAUUUUUGGUCCUUUUGUCGUUAGUGUUGAUUAUAUUUAGUUACAAUUGCAUGAGUUUUAUCACUUUCGACUAUUUGCGCAGUUUUCAAGUGUUUAAUUGUGAUCAUCAAUUACUGCCAGUUAUGUAAGAGUGUUAUAUUUAAGCGGUCUCCAUAGCACACCUUAGUAAGUGCCUUUCACCAGUUGCUCUCCAUUGGUGAAUCUGCAUCGCCAUAUACCAUGUAAAAUCAUUGUUGAAGUACAAAAAGUUCCUCCCUUCCAAAGCCCCUUUUAGUUAGAUGCAUUGUUCUAUUUGGAAACAUU